CAGAAAUAAUUCAGUGGCGAACGGGUGCGUAACACGUGGGCAAUCUGCCGAAAAGUGGGGGAUAGCUCGCCGAAAGGCGAAUUAAUACCGCAUGUGGUGAGGGACGACAUCUUCCUGAAUCCAAAGCCGGGGCAACCUGGCGCUUUUUGAGGAGCCCGCGGCCUAUCAGCUAGUUGGCGGGGUAACGGCCCACCAAGGCUAUGACGGGUAGCUGGUCUGAGAGGACGACCAGUCACACUGGAACUGAGACACGGUCCAGACACCUACGGGUGGCAGCAGUCGAGAAUUUUUCUCAAUGGGGGAAACCCUGAAGGAGCGACGCCGCGUGGAGGAUGAAGGCUUUCGGGUUGUAAACUCCUGUCAUUUGAGAACAAGGCGCCGAUAUUAACUGUAUCGGCGUUGAUAGUAUCAGAAGAGGAAGGGACGGCUAACUCUGUGCCAGCAGCCGCGGUAAUACAGAGGUCCCAAGCGUUGUUCGGAUUCAUUGGGCGUAAAGGGUGCGUAGGUGGCGCCGUAAGUCGGGUGUGAAAUUUCGGAGCUUAACUCCGAAACUGCAUUCGAUACUGCGGUGCUUGAGGACUGGAGAGGAGACUGGAAUUUAUGGUGUAGCAGUGAAAUGCGUAGAGAUCAUAAGGAAGACCAGUGGCGAAGGCGGGUCUCUGGACAGUUCCUGACACUGAGGCACGAAGGCCAGGGGACA
rnacentral:rRNA from 1 species